AUAAUACUCCCUCCGUCCCAAAAUUCUUGUCUUAUUAGAUUAGUCUAGAUACGGAUGUAUCUAAUCUUAAAACAUGACUUGAUACAUCUGUAUUUAGACAAAUCUAAAACAAAAAAUUUGGGACGGAGGGGGUAGUUG
rfam:Triticum aestivum genome assembly, contig: Triticum_aestivum_CS42_TGACv1_scaffold_591998_7BS